GUCCACGCCGUAAACGGUGGGCACUAGGUGUGGGGGACAUUCCACGUUCUCCGUGCCGUAGCUAACGCAUUAAGUGCCCCGCCUGGGGAGUACGGCCGCAAGGCUAAAACUCAAAGGAAUUGACGGGGGCCCCGCACAAGCGGCGGAGCAUGCGGAUUAAUUCGAUGCAACGCGAAGAACCUUACCUGGGUUUGACAUCUGCCGGAAGCAUCCAGAGAUGGGUGUGCCUUUUGGUCGGUUGACAGGUGGUGCAUGGCUGUCGU
rnacentral:rRNA from 1 species